rnacentral:lncRNA from 1 species
AUAUAAUGUAAACAAUAAAAAUUGUUGCUAUUAUUUACUGAAUGCAUAUGUACAUAAAAUACAAAAACAAUCAAUGUGUCCCACAUCCUGUAUGCUUUAAUGCAGCCGUUGGCCUGAGGUGCAUCCCAUCCCGCCCGGCUACGCUAUCAGGAUCAUCCUCAUCAGAUCGCCUCUUUAUUGGAGGAUGCGCUGCAGCAUGAUCGUUAGUAGGACUGGCAGGCUAGGUAGAAGCGGUCGUCGGUCUAGUAAUAACCUACAGAAUAACAAAAUAUUUUAGUAUAUGAAAUAUAUAUUAGUAACGUACGUGUUAAGUCACAAAAAAUUAAAUUAUCUUACCAAGGUCUCGUCGG